UUACUCUAAAAACAGAGGAAGCAGGAAGUUCAUUGGAAGCUGAAAGCAAAAGAGAAUUUUAAUCGAUAAUGCACAAAAAGACCAUGAAAUGAUGACUAAGUUUAGGAAAAGAAUGAAACUCUUAAUUAGAGUUGAAAUGUUGUACAUUUUAUUUGCUCUGUAUUUCAACAGCUUUACAGGUGUGGAUGGCCAGGAUCAGUGUGAAGCAGGGAAGUUUGGAGUUAACUGUUCCCUUGUAUGUCACUGUGUGGCUGCUGAAACAUGCACUAGUGAUGGCAAAUGUACCUGUAGUCAACUAUGGGAUGGACCCACCUGUCAGGUGGAGUUAGAAAAUAUUGCUUUGAAAAUGAUAACAGAGCAAGGUCCAUCUACAAAGAGAGACAGAAAUAGUAGUUAUGCAGUUGAUGGUAAUAGAACUAGCAGUUCCUGGGCGCAGAACACUAAUGAGACAGGUAUAGCUUGGUGGUCUCUUGACCUUGGGAAGGAAAGCAGUAUUCACAAGAUUGUGCUGAAUUUCAAUGACCCAGAUCCAGAGGAUAGUAGUGUUGAAAAGCGACGACCUGGUUGGAGUUUGGUGUUGUCAAACACAAGCACAAAUGACAUGGCAGAUGGCAAACUGUGUUAUAAAGAUACCUCAGUUGUUCAAGCAGACCCUGUUGUGAUGCUGUCAAACUGUUCUUCAUUAGCCAGAUACAUUAAACUUUAUAAUACACGGCAAGGGCAAAAUUCAUGGUCGCGACUUCCAAAUCUAGAACUUUCUGAAGUUCAGGUUUUAUCUGAAAAAGGGUGCGUUGAAGGAACCUAUGGUGACCUGUGUGAAUACCAGUGUGGCCAUUGUGAUUCCAGAUCCUGUGACAGAGUGGCUGGGGCUUGUUUUGGUCCAUGUAUCACUGGUUUCCAUGGAGAUGGUUGUAACUCAUCAUGUUCUGACAACUGUAAGGAUCCAGGAUGUGAAAAAGCAGAUGGAAAAUGUUUGGGAGACUGUGUUGUUGGUUUCCAUGGAGAUUUUUGCAACUCGUCAUGUUCUGGUAACUGUAAGGAUCAUGGUUGUAAAAAGGAUGAUGGGACAUGUUUGGGAGACUGUGAUGUUGGUUUCCAUGGAGAUUUUUGUAACCUAACUUGUUCUAAUCAGUGUAAGGAUCCUGGUUGUGAAAAGGAUGGCAAAUGUGUUGGGGACUGUAACAAUGGAUACACUGGAAAGGCUUGCGAUCAGAGAUGUCCAAGUAACUGUGCUGAAUCAUAUUGCUUGAAAACCGGUGGAUGUUUUAGCUGCAAAGAAAAUAAACUUUAUACUGUCUACUGUAAUGUUAGCUGUCCUGUUAACUGUAAAGGAGGAUGUGACCAAAGCAAUGGAAAUUGUUUGGAUGGAUGUGUUGGGAAAUUUUAUGGGAAAAAGUGUGAAUUACCAUGCAGUAACUGUAAAAAUGGGUGCCUAAAGGACACUGGCAACUGUUCAGUUGAUGGUUGUGUAGUGGGUCACUAUGGAAGCAAAUGUGAAAAUGAAUGUGCUGAGGAAUGUGUUAAAGGUGAAGGAUGUGAAAUGCUGUCUGGGAAAUGUGGACGAUGUGAAGACACAAACUAUGGUGAUUUUUGUGAGUUGGAUUGUAAUUCAAAUUGUGUUGAUGGUAAAUGCUACAGAAAUGGAACAUGUACUGAAGGCUGCCAGGAUAAGCGAUACCAUGGCAAUAUGUGUGAUCAGAACUGUAGUAUUGCUAUAACCAACUGUGUACAGUGUGAGAAGCUUGCAGGGUCUGUGUCAUGUAUGAAAUGUAGCAAUGCUAAACAUGGAGAACAAUGUGAAAAUAGUUGUCCCAUAAACUGUGAGAAAUGUGACAGUCAGACAAAGUGUACACAUUGUUUGCCUGGAUUUUCAGGUAUUACAUGUAUGGAUAAAUGUGAAGUUAACAACUGUAAAAGAUGUAAUACAUCAGGAAAAUGUCAGACAUGUGAAGAUGGAUAUUUUGGUGAGAGCUGUGAGCAUACAUGUGCAGAUAAUUGUCAGGUAUGUGUGGCUAAGACAGAAAAUUCAAGCGAGUCCAUUUGUGAAACAUGUAAGAAAGGAUAUUUUUCAUUUAGUAAAAAUUGUAUUGAAUGCAUUGGUAAGUGCAUGGCAUGUAGCCAUAUAACUGCCUGUACGGAAUGUGAACCAGGAUAUUAUGGGACACAAUGCAGUAAGGCAUGUCCUAAAAAUUGUUUAGAAUGUACGUCAGAUGACACAUGUACUAAGUGUAAAGAUGGCUGGUCUGGGAAAAACAAGUGUCAGUGUAGUCACAAUUGCUUGCGUGAAGGUGAUUUAGAUUCGUGGUGUGUUGCCAAUGGAACUUGCGCUAAAGGCUGUAUUAGUGGAAAAUUUGGACCCAGAUGCAGUGUUGAUUGCCCAAAAAAAGAACGUUGCUUAGAAUGUGACCAAUACAGUGGAAAGUGCAAAACAUGUGUCAGUGGUUUCUAUGGUGGACUUAAUCACUGUGACAAAAAGUGUGGGAACUGUUUGCCAGAUGCUGCCGAGGAGGUUAUAUGUGAUAUAGGGAAUGGAGAAUGUAUAAGUCCUUGUGUUGAUGGGUAUUUUGGUAAUGAUUGUAAACAAAAUUGCAGCGAAAGUUGUUACACUCAUGAUAUGGGUUCCAGAAAAUGUGAGAAAACCACAGGGAACUGUGAAAAAUGUAAAUCUGGCUAUUUUGGAAAUAAGUGUGAACGUGAGUGCAGUAAAAAUUGUCUCGAUCCUAACACCAAUACAAACAGCUGCGACAAAAGCACAGGGGAAUGCAAGGCUUGUAUAGCUGGAUUUUAUGGCAAGCAGUGUUCUGAAAAUUGUAGUUUGAACUGUGAGUCAUCUCUUGGUGUAAAUGCCUGUGACAAAGAUAGUGGAAAAUGUCCAAGAUGCAAGCAAAAGUAUUAUGGUGACUUCUGUGAGAAAGAAUGUGGUGUACAUUGUGAAUCAGACUGUGAAAAGGAAACAGGGAGAUGUGAUGCAUGUAAAAGUAAGCAUUAUGGUGACUACUGUGAUUUGACAUGCCCGCAGAACUGUGGGAGUGAACCAUUUAGUAAUCCUGGAAAAAUAGUUUGUCAAAGAAGCACAGGGGAAUGUCUACAUUGCCAAUUUGGUUUCUAUGGAGAAUCUUGUACCAAGCACUGUUCAGAUACCUGCGGGAAAAGUUUGCUGACAGGAAAUAAACCUCAGUGUAGUAAAGCAGACGGCACUUGUUUGAAAUGUGAUGCCGGCUUCUUUGGUGAUUUCUGCGAAAAAGGAUGUAGCAAGAAUUGUGGGAAAGAGGAGGGAAAAAAUGGGUCAUGUGAUCGGCAUUCAGGGCAUUGUAAGCUUGGAUGCAUGCCAGGCUGGUACAACAGCACAUGUGAAAAAACAUGUAACAGCACAUGCAAAGACCACACAUGUCACUGGAAAACAGCAGAAUGUAGCCUAGGAUGUGAAAAUGAGUAUGAAGGCAUUUUCUGUGAAAUAAAAAAAGUAGAAGAUGCAACUUUGACCAUUGUUAUGGUUGUAUUGGGACUUAUUGUUGCCAUAGCAGUUGUUUUCCUCAUCGGAUUUUUCUUGUUUAGAAGAUACAACAGGAAAGCUGGUAUUAAGGCUGGUUCACAGAUAAAUGGGACAAGAAUGAACAAACAGAAUGGUAGAUCUGAGGAAAUAGGACUUGCAACAAAUGGUAAAACAACAUCAUUUGUACGAAAGCAAGGCUCUCGUCAUGCAGGUACAGAUGAGGUUAUAGAGGAGAAUGAGUCAUCCCCAUUGUUGGUUGCCAAUACCAACCAGUCUGAAUACUACAACUCAAACACACAGAUUCCUGUAUCGAUGUUUACAGAAUAUCUACAAAACAUGAAGAGGGAAAGUCCAGACUGGUACAAACAGGAAUUUCUUAAAUUGCCGAAGGGCUUGUUGAAGUCAUGUGAUGUUGCCACCAAUAUUGAAAACAGAGGGAAAUGUCGUUACAAGCAACUUUAUCCUUAUGAUGAAACUCGGGUGAAACUAGAACCUGAAGGUGAUGACCAGUCUGACUUUAUUAAUGCUUCAUAUGUCACUGGUUACAAGAAACCAAUGGCAUUCAUAGCGGCUCAGGGUCCCACUGAUAACACGGUUAAUGACUUCUGGAGAAUGAUCUUUCAGAGGGAUUGUGGGAAAAUUGUCAUGCUCACAAACUUGUUUGAGGAAUGCAAGAUGAAAUGUGUACGGUACUGGCCGGAGGCAGAUGAACCUGAAACAUAUGGGAUAUAUGAGGUUACCAUGAUUACAGAGAAUGAACUUCCAAAUUAUACAGUUAGACAUUUGCAAGCUACUCAUGGUAAUACAAAAGAGGUAAAAGAUUUCCUGCAUUUACAUUUUACGGCAUGGCCUGAUAGAGGAGUACCUGACAACCCAAGUGUGAUGCUUCAAUUUAGAGAUAAAGUUAUGAGUGAACAUUCUGACCUAGAUGGUCCUAUAUUGGUACACUGCAGUGCUGGUAUUGGACGCACAGGAACAUUUGUUGCGCUAGACUAUCUACUGAAACAAGCUCAUGUAGAACCAAAAAUAGAUGUGUUCAGAACAGUCACAGAUAUGAGAUACCAAAGAACAAACUUUGUUCAAACUGAUAUACAGUAUGACUUUGUACACAAUGCAAUAUCUGAAGCCCUCAACACAAAGGAGUCUGAGGUGACAGAAGAACAGUUUAGUCAGUAUUAUUAUUCUAUGCUGGAAACUUGUCAAGAUUCUGGCAUUACAAAACUGCAAGAUCAGUUUGAGAUGUUACAUCAGAUGUCACCAGUGCUAGAUGAGAGUUGUUUCCUCGUAGGUCAGAAAGAAGAGAAUAUACUGAAAAACCGGCACCCUGAUAUACUGCCUCUUGAUGUAGGAAGAGCAUAUCUGUCUACACCAGUUAAAGGCUCAAAUGAAUAUAUUAAUGCCGUCUUUGUGCCAACAUGUUCAAACAAGACUGGAUUCUUGAUCACCCAAAUGCCAUUACCCCAUACAGUUACAGAUUUCUGGCGAUUGGUGUAUGACCAACAUGUAUGCAACAUUGUCAUGAUGAAUAAUGUUGAUGAUGAUGAUGAGACAAUUGGGGAGUACUGGCCCUCUGAUGACAGUACAUAUGGUCCAUUCAGGGUAGAACUGCUCAGUUGUGAUAAUAAUGAAGACUUCUCAGUCAUGACCAUACAGCUUACACACUCUUCACUGAGUAGACAGACAACUAUGAAGGUAAAGUUGUUCAGGUAUGAGGGAUGGUCAGACAGUGAGAUGUUACCACACACCACUACAUCCUUAACCUCUCUAAUCAGUCAAGUGUCAAGGUCAUCUAGGGAUUCAAAAACAGAACCAAUAAUAGUUCAUUGCAUGGACGGAGCUGAGCGUAGUGGACUGUAUUGUGCUGUGUCUUCUGUACUAGAGAGAUUGCAGAUGGAUAAGAAAAUCAACAUUCCUCAAACUGUAUUACAGCUCAGAGCUAGAAGGCCUCAACUCAUUAAAACAUUUGAGCAAUUUGAUUUCUGUUACCGUGCGGUGUUGGAUUACUUGGAUUCCACGCAGAUUUACUCGAACGUCUUGUAGACUGUACUUGGCUGUAUUUUAGACUGGUUAAUUUCUAGAUUUGUGUGACACAUGUCAGCUGGACACAGUUUACAGAUCUGCUAGAAUAUACAGAUAAUUGGGAAUUCAGAGUAGUAACAGAAAGUGUUGGACUGUCAUAUUCUACAAAUAUUAUCUUUCAGUUUUCUGUGAUGGAUGUUAAAUUAGAGACAUAAAAUUAUGAUAGAGAAAGGAUACGUUAUCCUGUAGAGCAGGAGAAAAAAAACUAGUUAUGUGCAAGAUAGGUGUAUUUUAUGGAAUUUGUCUUGUAGCUAUGUUGUUAUGUAUAUUACUGUGAGUUUAAGAACAGGCUUAUAAUGUUGGUUUUAAAUUACUUGCUGGUCCUAUAUUUGUAGAACUUAAGAUUCAUUUUAGCUUUAUUAUUAUAUGUCUUCAGAUUUAUUUUUAAGUUCUGCUUUGCAUUAAUUACGAUACUGCUGUCAAUUUCUAGACUUUUCUUACAAUGAAUAUCUGCAUAAGGGAUUGCUUUUCAGAUAGUUUUAGGCCUCUUUUAAGAUUGAUUGUGUUUUUUUCAACACAUGCUGUUUUGCAUUGCAUGGAAGAUAGUUUGGAAAAAAAUUAAGAAUAAGCAGUAAACAUUGAAAGUAUGUGUGUUUUGGUGAAUGGCAAAACAUGGGCUUGAUUCAAAGUGCUCUGACUGCCCACUUGUGAUAUAUUCUGCUCAGUUUUGGGAAAUGAUGAAACUUUUUUCUAUAAAAAAUUAUGUAUGCAAGACAUUAUAAAUUAUAUAUAUAUAUAUAUAGAACUACAUUUUUUUCUAGAUGUAUUUGUAACACUAUCACUUUAGUAGUGUAUUAACUUUUACAAGGACUUUUGUAUUUUUGGACUAAAGAUGUAUAGCUUUAAGGGCAUUUUGUAUCCUUUGAAUUGCUCAUGUUUUUUGUUGACUGUGCUGCAAAACCAAAGAUUGGCUUCCAAUAUGAGAAUAUUCAUAUAUCAGUACAUUUUAUUGACCUGAUUUAUAUGUCAGCUAUAUGUGCAAUUUCAUAUUUUUCUUUUCUAUUUAUGUCAUUAUGUGAUACAGUAAAUUGUGUCAUUUUUGACUCAUCUGAGCCAAAGGCUCAUGGUGAGCUUUUGUGACCGCUUGAUGUGCGUCGUGUGUCCAUCAACAUUUCUAAAAACAUCUUCUUCUUGAAAACCACAGGGCAGAUUUACACCAAACUUCACAG
rnacentral:misc_RNA from 1 species